GACCGCUCCGGUGCCUUAGUGGUUAGAGCGUCCGCCUCGGAUGCGGGAGAUCGCAAGUUGGAACCCCGACCGAGUCA